rnacentral:rRNA from 1 species
UGGGGAAUAUUGCACAAUGGGCGAAAGCCUGAUGCAGCGACGCCGCGUGAGGGAUGACGGCCUUCGGGUUGUAAACCUCUUUCAGCAGGGAAGAAGCGCAAGUGACGGUACCUGCAGAAGAAGCACCGGCUAACUACGUGCCAGCAGCCGCGGUAAUACGUAGGGUGCGAGCGUUGUCCGGAAUUAUUGGGCGUAAAGAGCUCGUAGGCGGCCUGUCGCGUCGGAUGUGAAAGCCCGGGGCUUAACCCCGGGUCUGCAUUCGAUACGGGCAGGCUAGAGUGUGGUAGGGGAGAUCGGAAUUCCUGGUGUAGCGGUGAAAUGCGCAGAUAUCAGGAGGAACACCGGUGGCGAAGGCGGAUCUCUGGGCCAUUACUGACGCUGAGGAGCGAAAGCGUGGGGAGCGAACA